rnacentral:misc_RNA from 1 species
GUAUGAAUUAAGUAAAGUAAAACUUUCCGGUUUCCAGGCCUUGAACGCUAGGAAAUGCUAUUUUGCUUAAUUUCUUCAGAUAUCUUAGAGAUUAAUCAUUGUAAUGUCUAAUUGUAUGAAAUAAAGUGACAGAAUAUCUAAUUGUAUAAAAUAAAGACACAGAAUUAUAUAACUCCAAAAUUAAAAAACAAAUUACAAGGCAAGAUGAAGAUAGAAAAAAAUAUAUAAUUGCUUGAAAACAAUGAAGGAAAAAAAAAUCAAAUUUUUAAGUCUAAUUAAUUUUACAGAUUUGAUAAAAUUUAUCAAAAUUAAUAUUCAAUUUAAUUAGUAA